rnacentral:rRNA from 1 species
UACGAAGGGGGCUAGCGUUGCUCGGAAUUACUGGGCGUAAAGCGCACGUAGGCGGCUUUCUAAGUCGGGGGUGAAAUCCUGGAGCUCAACUCCAGAACUGCCUUCGAUACUGGGAAGCUCGAGUCCGGGAGAGGUGAGUGGAGCUGCGAGUGUAGAGGUGAAAUUCGUAGAUAUUCGCAAGAACACCAGUGGCGAAGGCGGCUCACUGGCCCGGUACUGACGCUGAGGUGCGAAAGCGUGGGGAGCGAACAGG